UACGUAGGGCGCAAGCGUUAUCCGGAAUUAUUGGGCGUAAAGAGCUCGUAGGCGGUUUGUCGCGUCUGCUGUGAAAACCUAAGGCUCAACCUUGGGCUUGCAGUGGGUACGGGCAGACUGGAGUUCGGCAGGGGAGACUGGAAUUCCUGGUGUAGCGGUGGAAUGCGCAGAUAUCAGGAGGAACACCGAUGGCGAAGGCAGAUCUCUGGGCCGUAACUGACGCUGAGGAGCGAAAGCGUGGGGAGCGAACAGG
rnacentral:rRNA from 1 species